GACGAACGCUGGCGGCGUGCUUAACACAUGCAAGUCGAACGGGGAACGAGGGAGCUUGCUUCCUCCGGGUCAGUGGCGUACGGGUGAGUAACACGUGAGCAAUCUGCCCCGAACUCUGGGAUAAGCGUUGGAAACGACGUCUAAUACCGGAUACGACGCGGGAGGGCAUCCUCUCCGCGUGGAAAGAACUUCGGUUCGGGCUGGGCUCGCGGCCUAUCAGCUUGUUGGUGAGGUAACGGCACACCAAGGCGACGACGGGUAGCCGGCCUGAGAGGGUGACCGGCCACACUGGGACUGAGACACGGCCCAGACUCCUACGGGAGGCAGCAGUGGGGAAUAUUGCACAAUGGGCGCAAGCCUGAUGCAGCAGCGCCGCGUGAGGGACGACGGCCUUCGGGUUGUAAACCUCUUUUAGCAGGGAAGAAGCGAAAGUGACGGUACCUGCAGAAAAAGCACCGGCUAACUACGUG
rnacentral:rRNA from 1 species